UGAAAAUAAAGAAAAAAAGGCCUUCUUUAAAACUAUAAUAAAAGAGUAGCAUGUCAUAGUUAUAGAGAAUAUUUUCUUUGUACAAAUCACUAUGCAAAAACAGACAUUUAUACCAUUGUAAUGUCUUAAUACUGUAGACCUUAGCAGCCUCAUUUUUAUUUUCUAAUACUCUACUGACACCUUCUGGAAUACAGCACUUACUUUACAGCUAACUUGUGUAGUGAUAAUGAUGGAGUCAAUUAAAAAAAAAUCUGAUGCUACCACAUGUCCCAAAACACAAAUAUCAUUAUAUCUUUUACAUUCUUAGUGCCAGUUUUCACUGAUUUUGAAGCAUCAAAAUCAUAAAGCAAUCAGGAAAACAUAAAAAAGAGAACAUCUCUAGAUUGAAAUAAUCUAGUUUCAGGGGAAAACCAACCUUCAUUGCUGCUGCUGAUGUUUAUGAUAUUUGAUACUGUGUAUAAAAGCCUAUGUACUGAAGGCCACAGAUUACAGCAAAAUCUCUGAUUUGUUUUAAAAAUGUGUAGAGGUUAAAAUUAGGAGCAGGACAUUCUUUCAAACUCUAUCUUAUGCACAUUUAAUUCUUCAGUUCUCUUUAUUCCCCAUCAAUGCAGCUGAAGGUGGAAAUCUUGAAGCAAAUAAAGUUUCAGCACUUGAGUCUGAGAACGACCCAGUUAUCCAUGACCUCUAGCUGCAACCUGCAGGAAAAAAUAACAAGAGAUGUAAUGAGCAUCAAUCUCUAAUAUAACCUCUGUCACCCUCCGAGACGCAUCUGAGAUCGUCUAAAUCCUUUGGAUUCGCACGAUGAGUGUUGGCCUUUUAGCGGUAAUGAAUCUUUUAUCUCUGAACAACUGUCCUGUGGAAGCUAUUGGCAGAGUUCAUUGUCCACAAGGUAAGCCAAAUACAUCUCUUAGCCAAAGCUGAGAUGCUGGUUUCUCUGGCUGGAGGUUCCAGGUGCUGGCAAUGAAGCAGUUGCACCGCUUGAUGGAGCCAUUAUCAAGUUGCCUGCUGAAAGACUCAUCCAGAAAAUUAAUGAGUAAAGCUGUAGCUGCCAGGAGAAGACAGAAUCUACUCAAUUUUCUAGACAUUCAAUAACUAGUGAGCCUGGCCUACUUAACAGUGGGUUACAUCAACCUGCCAAACUUGGAAUAAAUCUUUAUACUAUUACCA
rnacentral:lncRNA from 1 species